UACGUAGGGUGCAAGCGUUGUCCGGAAUUAUUGGGCGUAAAGAGCUCGUAGGCGGUUUGUCGCGUCUGCUGUGAAAACCCGAGGCUCAACCCCGGGUCGGCAGUGGAUACGGGCAGGCUAGAGGUAGGUAGGGGAGAAUGGAAUUCCCGGUGUAGCGGUGAAAUGCGCAGAUAUCGGGAGGAACACCGGUGGCGAAGGCGGUUCUCUGGGCCUUACCUGACGCUGAGGAGCGAAAGCGUGGGGAGCGAACAGG
rnacentral:rRNA from 1 species